UUUUAGAUGGCGACCGGCGCACGGGGUGAGUAACACGUAUCCAACCUGCCGAUGACUCGGGGGAUAGCCUUUCGAAAGAAAGAUUAAUACCCCGAUGGCAUAGUUCUUCCGCAUGGUAGAACUAUUAAAAGAAUUUCGGUCAUCGAUGGGGAUGCGUUCCAUUAGUUAGUUGGCGGGGUAACGGCCCACCAAGACAACGAUGGAUAGGGGGUUCUGAGAGGAAGGUCCCCCACAUUGGAACUGAGACACGGUCCAAACUCCUACGGAAGGCAGCAG
rnacentral:rRNA from 1 species